GAUAGACAAGAAUUUGCUUUCUAUUGAUUAUUUGUAUAUGCAUGAUAGCAGAGCCGAUUAGUCACCAUUGAAAACGUCUUUUUUAUAUUUCUUGUUUAGAUAUUAACGAGAAAUCACCCCCCCCCACCCCCACCCCAAGAAUCCGAAACAGUGUUUCCACAUCCUUCCUAAAAAAAAAAAAGCCCUCUAUCGUGAAGUUGGCAACAGUGGCUGAUGUAAACAUUGGAACAGCUGAUUUUGUCACUCCACGUAUUGUGAGGGCAAUUUCUCAUCACGAUGAGUGUAAUGUGGUUGCGUGA